GUUGCAGUUGAUAAAAGAAUUUAAGACUGCAAACGUGUUACAGUGUGGAGGAUUUGUUGUAGGUGAUAGAAGGAUUUAAGACUGCAAACGUGUUACAGUGUGGAGGACAUGUUGCAGGUGAUAUAAGAAUAUAGGACUGCAAAUGUGUUACAUUGUGGUGGACAUGUUGCAGGUGAUAGAAGGAUUUAAGACUGAAAACGUGUUACAGUGUGGAGGACAUGUUGCAGGUGAUA
rnacentral:sRNA from 1 species